rnacentral:rRNA from 1 species
GGCUCAGGAUGAACGCUAGCUACAGGCUUAACACAUGCAAGUCGAGGGGAAACGAUAGAGAAAGCUUGCUUUUUCUAGGCGUCGACCGGCGCACGGGUGAGUAACGCGUAUCCAACCUGCCCAUCACUUGGGGAUAACCUUGCGAAAGUAAGACUAAUACCCAAUGACGUCUCUAGAAGACAUCUGAAGGAGAUUAAAGAUUUAUCGGUGAUGGAUGGGGAUGCGUCUGAUUAGCUUGUUGGCGGGGUAACGGCCCACCUAGCCUGCGAUGGAUAGGGGUUCUGAGAGGAAGGUCCCCCACAUUGGAACUGAGACACGGUCCAAACUCCUACGGGAGGCAGCAGUGAGGAAUAUUGGUCAAUGGACGAGAGUCUGAACCAGCCAAGUAGCGUGCAGGAUGACGGCCCUAUGGGUUGUAAACUGCUUUUAUAAGGGAAUAAAGUGGGAGUCGUGACUCUUUUUGCAUGUACCUUAUGAAUAAGGACCGGCUAAUUCCGUG